rnacentral:rRNA from 1 species
UACGUAGGGUGCAAGCGUUGUCCGGAAUUAUUGGGCGUAAAGAGCUUGUAGGCGGUUUGUCGCGUCUGCUGUGAAAUUUCGGGGCUCAACCCCGAACUUGCAGUGGGUACGGGCAGACUAGAGUGUGGUAGGGGAGACUGGAAUUCCAGGUGUAGCGGUGAAAUGCGUAGAUAUCUGGAGGAAUACCGGUGGCGAAGGCGGCAUCCUGGACCGGCAUUGACGCUGAGGAGCGAAAGCUAGGGGAGCAAACGGG